rnacentral:tRNA from 1 species
GUUUGUGGCUCAGUGGUAGAACACUUUUCUCACAUGUAUGAGGCACUGGGUUUGAUUCUCAGCAGCACA